GAGCACGUAGGUGGGUUUGUAAGUCAGGUGUGAAAGCCUUCUGUUCAAAGGAAGAACGGCAUCUGAAACUGCAGAUCUUGAGUGUAGGAGGGGAGAGUGGAACUUCUGGUGGAGCGGUGAAAUGCGUAGAUAUCAGAAGGAACGUCGGCGGCGAAAGCGACUCUCUGGCCUAUUACUGACACUGAGUGUGCGAAAGUUAGGGGAGCAAACGGGAUUAGAUACCCCGGUAGUCCUAACUGUAAACGAUGGGCACUAAGUAGAGGGGUUUU
rnacentral:rRNA from 1 species